rnacentral:rRNA from 1 species
AUGGCUUGUUUUAAUUUGUUGAUAAACCAGCAGAAACCAUGGUGUCAUGUUUCUAAUAACAGCGUCUUUAGGCUGGUUAAUGUUUGUAUUGGAGACCACUACCUUUUAUUUCGCUUGUUUCUUACCAUCUUCCUUGCUUCUCUGGCUGUUUCACGGUUGGGAGGGUGGCAUGGCGUUGGGGCUGUCUUGCGGGUCGGCCGGAGAGGGAGCACACCGAGUGGGCUUCUAAGAUGGCUGAGGUCACCAGCUACAGCUAGCCCAAUGUCAUGCAGGUGUAACGAGGAACACAUACGAGGAGUGGACGAUGCCAGAGGUGAGGUUCUACUGUGGAGUGCCAGGUUGGUUGCCAUGGGAGGAUCUGGCUAG